rnacentral:rRNA from 1 species
CCUACGGGUGGCAGCAGUGGGGGAUAUUGCACAAUGGGGGGAACCCUGAUGCAGCGACGCCGCGUGGGUGAAGAAGCGCCUCGGCGCGUAAAGCUCUGUCAGCAGGGAAGAAAAUGACGGUACCUGAAGAAGAAGCCCCGGCUAACUACGUGCCAGCAGCCGCGGUAAUACGUAGGAUCCGAGCGUUAUCCGGAUUUAUUGGGUUUAAAGGGUGCGUAGGCGGGCUGUAAAGUCGGCGGUAAAAUGUCGGGGCCCAACCCCGGCCUGCCGUUGAAACUGGGCGCCUAGAGUUGGCGAGAGGCAUGCGGAAUGCGUGGUGUAGCGGUGAAAUGCGUAGAUAUCACGAAGAACACCGAUGGCGAAGGCAGCAUACCGGCGCCUUACUGACGCUGAGGCACGAAAGCGUGGGUAGCGAACAGGAUUAGAUACCCGUGUAGUC